AUUCAAGUACACUGUGUUCUGUGGGGAUUCUUCUGUUGAAGGUUACCAGACUGAAAUGUCUGUCCUGGGAAGGAAGCUGACUGAUUUUGUUCCCUGCAGCAUUUCCCUUUUGCUUCUUAGAGUUGUCCAGACCUCCCAAAGCUUCUUCAGCUAUCUGUUUGGAAGGUGUUUCUCCAGGAAGUUUUCCUGGAGAUAUCAUAGCUGCUGAGGCUACACAUUCAACAAUUUCUUGCUUCGCCAUCAACACUUUGCCAGCCACCAUCUUGCCAUCUAAAAAUGUGAAUAGAAAGUAUUUUUCCUGAAGAACAGAUCCUCAAUAAAUCACCUACACCCAAAUCUCCAUCUCAGGCUCUACUUCUGGCAAGGCAUAUCAUGAGGCUAGUGAAGCACCUACAAGAAACUUAUAACUCAAGAUUGUAAAAAUAGCAUGGUGACUCUUACAAUCAUAUCACAGUGGGCCCCUCCAGCAAUUUAAACCUCAUGACCUAGGUGAAAGCUGUAAAAGGAUCUGCAUUAAUUCUUCAGAGGCAGGGCUAAGACUUUCAAGACUGAAAAGAGACUAGCAUAACGAGACUUAAUAGGAACCCAGUCAAGGGCAUUCAUGGCCAUGGGACCACACAUAAAUGGAGAAUGAGUAAAUUUUGCUAAGUCCAAAGACAUUGGAGAGAUAGAACCACUAUCACUGCUAUGGUGACUGAGUCAACAACAUACUGCCACUAUGAAGUAAUAAGAAAACAAAAAGUUAAAAAAUGUAACAGAUAACAGUUGGAGAGUGAAUAUAUUUUAAAUCAAUCAGA